GAUGAAGAACGUAGCGAAAUGCGAUACGUAAUGUGAAUUGCAGAAUUCAGUGAAUCAUCGAGUCUUUGAACGCACAUUGCGCCCCCUGGCAUUCCGGGGGGCAUGCCUGUCCGAGCGUCAUUUCUGCCCUCCAGCCCGGCUGGGUGUUGGGCGCUGUCCCCCCGGGGACACGCCCCAAAGGCAGUGGCGGCGCCGCGUCGGGUCCUCGAGCGUAUGGGGCUUUGUCACCCGCUCGGGACGGACUCGUCGGCGCUGGUCUUCCUCCAGGCGACCCUUCGGGGCUCGUCUUCCUUCGGUUGACCUCGGAUCAGGUAGGGUUACCCGCUGAACUUAAGCAUAUCAAUAAGCGGAGGA
rnacentral:misc_RNA from 1 species